rnacentral:rRNA from 1 species
UGAGGAAUAUUGGUCAAUGGGCGGGAGCCUGAACCAGCCAAGUCGCGUGAAGGAAGAAGGAUCUAUGGUUCGUAAACUUCGUUUGCAGGGGAAUAAAGUGCAGGACGUGUACUGUUUUGUAUGUACCCUGAGAAUAAGGAUCGGCUAACUCCGUGCCAGCAGCCGCGGUAAUACGGAGGAUCCGAGCGUUAUCCGGAUUUAUUGGGUUUAAAGGGUGCGUAGGUGGUUUGGUAAGUCAGCGGUGAAAGUUUGCAGCUUAACUGUAAAAAUGCCGGUGAAACUGUCGGACUUGAGUGUAAAUGAGGUAGGCAGAUUGCGUGGUGUAGCGGUGAAAUGCAGAGAUAUCACGCAGAAAUCCGAUUGCGAAAGCAGCUUACUAAGCUACAACUGACACUGAAGCACG